CAUGGCGAUGUCCUUCUGUUCCUGCACGCUGAUACCCGUUUACCGGAUUCUACGCUGGCGGCAC
rnacentral:tRNA from 1 species